UCCACAUACGCAUCCUUUGCUGAGGAUACGGUUAACGGAGCGCAAGCGACGUUCAACCUCAAAAGAAGCAGAGGGGGCUUAGUGGUGGGGUGACUGCGUACCUUUUGUAUAAUGGGUCAGCGACUUAUAUUCUGUAGCAAGGUUAACCGAAUAGGGGAGCCGGAGGGAAACCGAGUCUUAACCGGGCGUUAAGUUGCAGGGUAUAGACCCGAAACCCGGUGAUCUAGCCAUGGGCAGGUUGAAGGUUGGGUAACACUAACUGGAGGACCGAACCGACUAAUGUUGAAAAAUUAGCGGAUGACCUGUGGCUGGGGGUGAAAGGCCAAUCAAACCGGGAGAUAGCUGGUUCUCCCCGAAAGCUAUUUAGGUAGCGCCUCGUGAAUUCAUCUCCGGGGGUAGAGCACUGUUUCGGCUAGGGGGCCAUCCCGGCUUACCAACCCGAUGCAAACUGCGAAUACCGGAGAAUGUUAUCACGGGAGACACACGGCGGGUGCUAACGUCCGUCGUGAAGAGGGAAACAACCCAGACCGCCAGCUAAGGUCCCAAAGUCAUGGUUAAGUGGGAAACGAUGUGGGAAGGCCCAGACAGCCAGGAUGUUGGCUUAGAAGCAGCCAUCAUUUAAAGAAAGCGUAAUAGCUCACUGGUCGAGUCGGCCUGCGCGGAAGAUGUAACGGGGCUAAACCAUGCACCGAAGCUGCGGCAGCGACACUCAGGUGUUGUUGGGUA
rnacentral:rRNA from 1 species